CUUUCGUGUUUUACGCCACGCACGAGUUUGUGUAGGGGCUCGAGUUACACAUCUGAAGACUGACGGAGGUUUUGUUCUGGUUUAUCAGAUUACACGAAGAAAGGUUUUGAAGUUAUCCGGUCUGGGCCGCUUUGCAGAAACAUCGCGCACUCAACACUUGUUGCUGUGUCGGUGACGGGCCGUUAUUCAGCUCUCUGGUCCCCGGGGUACAGCUGCUAAGACACGCCCCCCUCCACAUAUCCCCACGUGACUUCUGAGAGCUGUCGCUCGCGAGGUGUGCAAAGAGACGCUCGUGCACUGUUUGGGAGUAUGUAUUUUAUUUAUUUAAUCAUUUAUUUGUUCCUUUGCUUUGUGCUGGUGAAUCUGUUGUUGUCUGCUAGUGCACUAAAGAGGCACUCAGGUCUUUGAAACCUAAGUAAAUUAGUUGGA